rnacentral:tRNA from 1 species
UCGGAUAUGGUGUAACGGCUAACAUUGCCGCCUCUCAUCGUCGAGAGUUUGUCCGCGGCAGCUCGGGGUUCGAUUCCCCGUAUCCGAA